ACCAAUUCCAGAGGAUGAUUACGUUCCUGUUGGUAUAAUGGCUCGGACGUGACAUACUAUUCUCUUGUUGUGUGGUUAUAUCCUGAUUGGUGGCUUUAUUGGUGCCAAUCCAAUCCUGGAAAGGCCACAUAUAUUC
rnacentral:snoRNA from 1 species